rnacentral:tRNA from 2 species
GCGCCUGUAGCUUAGCUGGAUAGAGCAUCGGCUUCCGAUGCCGAAGGUCGCAGGUUCAAAUCCUGCCAGGCGCG